rnacentral:lncRNA from 1 species
CGCAGGUUAGCGCACUCUAACUGCCCUCUCUGCUGCAGUGAUGAUCAGCUCAGCCAGGUGUUUCUGGAGCAGAACCGCUGGCGGGUGUUCAAGAGUGAGGUGCUGAGCAGCGUGGGGAGGGAGGGCACUCCGAAUUUCCCUGGUCUGAUGAGGAGGAGGAGAAGAGGGGGGAGGAAGGAUGCACAGAGGAGCAGCGAAUGGGAGAUCAAUCGAAGAGGCCUCCUGUUCCUCACUCACCCUACUUCAGCACAAGGAAAGGUAUGGGCUGCACCCGGUCCUCAAAAAGAGCUACCGACAGAGGAGACAGCGCCCCCUAGAGCACUGAGACUGAUCCACGCCAUCGCCAUCCCCAAGAUCAGUGGGAAGAGCAGAGAUUAUUGACCAGGACAAAGUGGACUUUUCUACGGUCCAGUAGAUUGUUUUUUACUGUCUACUGUGUUCUCUCAGAGGGUAAAAAGUGAUAACACAUCAACAUUUCAGGUUUUAUGAGCUACAGGCCAACAUACAAAUUAUGCUGACCAAACAGAAAUGCAGUACUGUAUGUUUAGAUGCACUCAAUCUAGUGUGCAUCAAAAGAAACUGAUCACAUACCUACAACAUACAAAGUUUUCACCUUGCAAAAAAUCUUGUUGUGGCUCAUUGAAUAGACAUGAAUAUUAAAUGAAGUAAAUUCCAUUUGCUGAUUAAUAUUUGCGUGUACAUACGGUA